GAUGAACGCUGGCGGCGUGCCUAAUACAUGCAAGUCGAGCGAACGGACGAGAAGCUUUCUUCUCUGAUGUUAGCGGCUGACGGGUGAGUAACACGUGGAUAACCUACCUAUAAUACUGGGAUAACUUCGGGAAACCGGAGCUAAUACCGGAUAAUAUUUUGUACCGCAUGGUUCAAAAGUGAAAGACGGUCUUGCUGUCACUUAUAGCUGGAUCCGCGCUGCAUUAGCUAGUUGGUAAGGUAACGGCUUACCAAGGCAACGAUGCAUAGCCGACCUGAGAGGAUGAUCGGCCACACUGGAACUGAGACACGGUCCAGACUCCUACGGGAGGCAGCAGUAGGGAAUCUUCCGCAAUGGGCGAAAGCCUGACGGAGCAACGCCGCGUGAGUGAUGAAGGUCUUCGGAUCGUAAAACUCUGUUAUUAGGGAAGAACAUAUGUGUAAGUAACUGUGCACAUCUUGACGGUACCUAAUCAGAAAGCCACGGCUAACUACGUG
rnacentral:rRNA from 1 species